CCCUGCUUUUCCCUUUUCCCUUCCCUGAACCUAAAAUAAAAGGAGUGUGGAAAGAGUAUAGUGCUAGUCCUCUCAUCCAAGUCUUCAUAAGAAGCAAAAGUAAGGAUCUUUUCCAACUUAAAUAAGAAAGCUUUUUUUGUUCACCCCAUUUCUAAUUUUUUUAAAAAAAAAUCCUUUGCUUUGAUUUGAACGGAGCUUUCAAAAUCAUGGGAGAAUCCUUUCAUGUUUCAUUGUUUAGCUUGACAAUAAAACUAGUUCCCAUUAACUUCAGUGUGUUUUGUCGGGGAGUGGGUAGUGGAGUUGGUUGUUCCCCAGAGGCUGGCUUGUGACUGGGUCCCUCCAGUUUGGUGCCUGGUAGAAGAAAGUCUGCUAUGGAAUGAACUUAGUGACCACUCCCACACUUCCUUCACUGAAAACUUGCUAAGCAUUUAUAUUGAUCUAGGAAGUGUUGCUAGGUGGUUGGGAUGUAGCUGGAAAACAGCUAGAUCUGCCUUUCGGAAGGCAAACAGGAAAUAAUCAGCUCUAGAG